GAUGAACGCUGGCGGCGUGCCUAAUACAUGCAAGUCGAGCGAACAGACGAGGAGCUUGCUCCUCUGACGUUAGCGGCGGACGGGUGAGUAACACGUGGAUAACCUACCGAUAAGACUGGGAAACUUCGGGAAACCGGAGCUAAUACCGGAUAAUAUAUUGAACCGCAUGGUUCAAUAGUGAAAGACGGUUUUGCUGUCACUUAUAGAUGGAUCCGCGCCGCAUUAGCUAGUUGGUAAGGUAACGGCUUACCAAGGCAACGAUGCGUAGCCGACCUGAGAGGGUGAUCGGCCACACUGGAACUGAGACACGGUCCAGACUCCUACGGGAGGCAGCAGUAGGGAAUCUUCCGCAAUGGGCGAAAGCCUGACGGAGCAACGCCGCGUGAGUGAUGAAGGUCUUCGGAUCGUAAAACUCUGUUAUUAGGGAAGAACAAAUGUGUAAGUAACUAUGCACGUCUUGACGGUACCUAAUCAGAAAGCCACGGCUAACUACGUG
rnacentral:rRNA from 1 species